CCUACGGGGGGCAGCAGUGAGGAAUAUUGGUCAAUGGACGAGAGUCUGAACCAGCCAAGUAGCGUGAAGGAUGACUGCCCUAUGGGUUGUAAACUUCUUUUAUAUGGGAAUAAAACGUUCCACGUGUGGGAUUUUGUAUGUACCAUAUGAAUAAGGAUCGGCUAACUCCGUGCCAGCAGCCGCGGUAAUACGGAGGAUCCGAGCGUUAUCCGGAUUUAUUGGGGUUAACGGGGGCGUAGGUGGAUUGUUAAGUCAGUUGUGAAAGUUUGCGGCUCAACCGUAAAAUUGCAGUUGAAACUGGCAGUCUUGAGUACAGUAGAGGUGGGCGGAAUUCGUGGUGUAGCGGUGAAAUGCUUAGAUAUCACGAAGAACUCCGAUUGCGAAGGCAGUUCACUGGACUGCAACUGACACUGAGGCUCGAAAGUGUGGGUAUCAAACAGGAUUAGAUACCCCUGUAGUC
rnacentral:rRNA from 1 species